UGGGGAAUAUUGCGCAAUGGGCGGAAGCCUGACGCAGCGACGCCGCGUGAGGGAUGAAGGUCUUCGGAUUGUAAACCUCUUUCAGUAGGGACGAAUUCAGACGGUACCUGCAGAAGAAGCACCGGCUAACUACGUGCCAGCAGCCGCGGUAAUACGUAGGGUGCGAGCGUUGUCCGGAAUUAUUGGGCGUAAAGAGCUCGUAGGCGGUCCGUCGCGUCGAUUGUGAAAACCCGGGGCUCAACUCCGGGCUUGCACUCGAUACGGGCGGACUAGAGUUCGGUAGGGGAGACUGGAAUUCCUGGUGUAGCGGUGAAAUGCGCAGAUAUCAGGAGGAACACCGGUGGCGAAGGCGGGUCUCUGGGCCGAUACUGACGCUGAGGAGCGAAAGCGUGGGGAGCGAACAG
rnacentral:rRNA from 1 species